CAUCCGGAUUCUGCCCGAAGUCUCUGGGCCGGAUAUCAUCAUAUACUGUAAGUUGGAAUGAGACACUACAGUAUAGAUGAUGUACUACCUUGAGCUCUUUCUUCCCGACUCGGGAU
rnacentral:pre_miRNA from 11 species